GACUGGGAUGGAGUGGGAGGGACUGGGAUGGACUGGGAGGGACUGGGAGGGACUGGGAUGGACUGGGAGGGACUGGGAUGGACUGGGGGGGAACUGGGAUGGACUGGGGGGGAACUGGGACAGAUUGGGAGGGAACGGAUCCAUACUGGUCUACACCAGUCCGUACUGGUUUAUACUGGUCUAUACUGGUCUAUACUGGUCUAUACUGGUCCAUACUGGUCCAUACUGGUCUAUACUGGUCCAUACUGGUUUAUACUGGUCUAUACUGGUCUACAUCAGUCCGUACUGGUUUAUACUGGUUUAUACUGGUUUAUACCACUGGGUACUGCUCCAUACUGGUCCAUACUGGUCCAUACUGGUCUAUACUGGUCCAUACUGGUCCGUACUGGUGCUCACCUGCCGGUGCGGGCGUAGUCCAGCCUGUAGGGCCCGAACUGCUCCAGGCGCAGCUCAAAGUGCUGGGGGGGGAGGGGGAGGGGCACCAAAAAAUGGGAAUUCUCAGCCCCAAAAUUCCCAAAAUUCCCCAAAAUUCCCCAAAAUUCCCAAAUUCCCCUCCCCCACUGACAGGCCCCCCAAAAAUUCCCAUUUUUCCCCCCCAAAAUUCCCAUUUUUCCUCCCAAAAUUCCCAUUUUUCCCCAAAAAAUUCCCAUUUUUUUCUUCAAAAUUCCCUUUUUUCCACCCAAAAUUCAAUUUUUUGCUUCAAAAUUCCCUUUUUUCCCCCCAAAAUUCCCAUUUUUUCCACUAAAUUCACAAUUUUUCCACCAAAUUCCCAUUUUUCCCCCCCCAAAUUCCCAUUUUUCCCCCCUGAAAUUCCCAUUUUUCCACCUAAAAUCUCCAUUUUUUCUCCUAAAACCUCCAUUUUUUUCCCCAAAAUCCCCAUUUUCCCCCCAAAAAUUCCCGUUUUCCCCCCCAAAAUCCCCAUUUUCUCCCCAAAAUUCCCAUUUUCCCCCCAAAAUUCCCGUUUUUCCCCCCAAAAUCCCCAUUUUCUCCCCCAAAAUUCCCAUUUUCCCCCCAAAAUUCGCUUUUUUCCCCCGAAAAUUCCCAUUUUCCCCCCAAAAUUCCCAUUUUUUCCCCAAAAUCCCCAUUUUUCCCCCCCAAAAUUCCCAUUUUCCCCCCCAAAUUCCCAUUUUUCCCCCCAAAAUCCCCAUUUUUCCCCCAAAAUCCCCAUUUUUCCCCCCAAAUUCCCACCUUUUUCCCUCUAAACCCCCCCCCAAAUCCC
rnacentral:lncRNA from 1 species